GGUUGAAUGUUAACAUUGCAUUUGCUUAGUUCGCUUUUAUGAAAGCAUGUUUAGCCUUCACUUAGUUGGUUAACUAUGUUGGAUUAGAGGUUUGAGUCGCUGCUUUAUUUUGUUGAUCUGUGAUAGGAAGCAUUGUAAUUAUGUUAAUGACCAACCGUUUUCAUUCUGUCUUUGAAACCGUUUUUACAUCUAUGUUUAAUUAUCAGUUUGCGUCAGUGUUUUGAUUUAAUUCAUCCGUAUUCACCAAAACAUUUUCACAAACCCCC
rnacentral:lncRNA from 1 species